UACAGAGGGUGCAAGCGUUAAUCGGAAUUACUGGGCGUAAAGCGUGCGUAGACGGUUGCGUAAGUCAGAUGUGAAAGCCCCGGGCUCAACCUGGGAAUUGCGAUGAAGACUGCAAGGCUUGAAUCUGGCAGAGGGGGGUAGAAUUCCCGGUGUAGUGGUGAAAUGCGUAGAGAUCGGGAGGAAUACCUGUGGCGAAGGCGGCCUACUGGGCCGGACCUGACGCUGAGACGCGAAGGCGUGGGGAGCGAACGGG
rnacentral:rRNA from 1 species